UUCACAUAAAAGAUUAGGCAUGUAGCGCCCCCAAAUCCGGGUCCUUUAUACCUCGUACCUGGUGCAUCACGAUACAACAUCUUUAUACAUAUCCUAUAAACUAAUACAGAAUUAUAAAUAUAAUUUGUCCAUAUAACAAGUUCUACAACAUUUCCCAAGGUCUACAACAUUUAUCUUAAUACAUACCUUUAAUAAUUCCCAAGGUUAACAUCAUCAAUUUACAGAAGUUAUUAUAAUAAAUAAAUGUUCAUAUAAAACUAAUCUCCAAC
rnacentral:lncRNA from 1 species